rfam:Triticum aestivum genome assembly, contig: Triticum_aestivum_CS42_TGACv1_scaffold_434326_5DL
UUGGCACAAUGAGGAAGACAAUUGUUGUAUAAUCUACCUGAUGAUAAAAUCUUCCUACUCGUUCUGA